rnacentral:rRNA from 1 species
AUUCCGGUUGAUCCUGCCGGAGGCCAUUGCUAUCGGAGUCCGAUUUAGCCAUGCUAGUUGCACGAGUUUAGACUCGUAGCAUAUAGCUCAGUAACACGUGGCCAAACUACCCUACAGACCGCAAUAACCUCGGGAAACUGAGGCCAAUAGCGGAUAUAACUCUCAUGCUGGAGUGCCGAGAGUUAGAAACGUUCCGGCGCUGUAGGAUGUGGCUGCGGCCGAUUAGGUAGAUGGUGGGGUAACGGCCCACCAUGCCGAUAAUCGGUACAGGUUGUGAGAGCAAGAGCCUGGAGACGGUAUCUGAGACAAGAUACCGGGCCCUACGGGGCGCAGCAGGCGCGAAACCUUUACACUGCACGACAGUGCGAUAGGGGGACUCCGAGUGUGAGGGCAUAUAGCCCUCGCUUUUCUGUACCGUAAGGUGGUACAGGAACAAGGACUGGGCAAGACCGGUGCCAGCCGCCGCGGUAAUACCGGCAGUCCAAGUGAUGGCCGAUAUUAUUGGGCCUAAAGCGUCCGUAGCUUGCUGUGUAAGUCCAUUGGGAAAUCGACCAGCUCAACUGGUCGGCGUCCGGUGGAAACUACACAGCUUGGGGCCGAGAGACUCAACGGGUACGUCCGGGGUAGGAGUGAAAUCCUGUAAUCCUGGACGGACCACCAAUGGGGAAACCACGUUGAGAGACCGGACCCGACAGUGAGGGACGAAAGCCAGGGUCUCGAACCGGAUUAGAUACCCGGGUAGUCCUGGCUGUAAACAAUGCUCGCUAGGUAUGUCACGCGCCAUGAGCACGUGAUGUGCCGUAGUGAAGACGAUAAGCGAGCCGCCUGGGAAGUACGUCCGCAAGGAUGAAACUUAAAGGAAUUGGCGGGGGAGCACCACAACCGGAGGAGCCUGCGGUUUAAUUGGACUCAACGCCGGACAUCUCACCGGUCCCGACAGUAGUAAUGACGGUCAGGUUGACGACUU